UACAGAGGGUGCGAGCGUUAAUCGGAAUUACUGGGCGUAAAGCGCGUGUAGGCGGCUCUUCAAGUCAGACGUGAAAGCCCCAGGCUCAACCUGGGAACUGCGUUUGAUACUGUCGAGCUAGAGUGUGGAAGGGGCGAUUGGAAUUCCGUGUGUAGCGGUGAAAUGCGUAGAUAUACGGAGGAACACCAGAGGCGAAGGCGGAUCGCUGGGCCAACACUGACGCUGAGACGCGAAAGCUAGGGUAGCAAACGGG
rnacentral:rRNA from 1 species